UUAACUUAAACUGUAGCUUGUAAAGGUCUAGUAGGUAAGACUUACAAAACUAACUUUCUGUCAUAUUUGCUGAAACUGACCCUAUGUUUGAGUAGAACUACAUGAAGCAGGUAAUUAAAAAAAAAAAAAAAAAAUCCGUCUCCUCUGGCACCAC